rnacentral:rRNA from 1 species
AUGCCCUUUGGUCUCGAGGAUCACCAUUUGGUGGGGUUGGGGUCACACCCGAAGUCGUAUUGGAGAAUUGAGCGGAACUACUUCCAUGUGCACUCUUUUCUCGGGUCAGGAAGCCCUGUUUUUGAAGCAGCAGGAAGACCUCUUCGUCAUCAUUUUUGGGGUAUGGGCCCUAAAUCAUUGGAAAAGAUGGUUUUUAGGGAAUUGA